AUUGAACGCUGGCGGCAGGCCUAACACAUGCAAGUCGAACGGUAACAGGAAGAAGCUUGCUUCUUUGCUGACGAGUGGCGGACGGGUGAGUAAUGUCUGGGAAACUGCCUGAUGGAGGGGGAUAACUACUGGAAACGGUAGCUAAUACCGCAUAACGUCGCAAGACCAAAAGAGGGGGGACCUUUCGGGGCCUCUUUGCCAUCGGAUGUGCCCAGAUGGGAUUAGCUAGUAGGUGGGGUAACGGCUCACCUAGGCGACGAUCCCUAGCUGGUCUGAGAGGAUGACCAGCCACACUGGAACUGAGACACGGUCCAGACUCUACGGGAGGCAGCAGUGGGGAAUAUUGCACAAAUGGGGCGCAAAGCCUGAUGCAGCCAUGCCGCGUGUAAUGAAGAAA
rnacentral:rRNA from 1 species